rnacentral:miRNA from 1 species
AAGCGAGAGGCUCUGGUGCUGG